GACCUCAGGUGAUCCGCCCACCUUGGCCUCCCAAAGUGCUGGGAUUACAGGCGUGAGCCACCGCACCCAGCCUAUUUCAGAUAUUAGAAACCUGGUAUUCAGUGGUUAAAUACUUGGCCAAGGCCAUUCAGUAGUCAAAUCUUUCAUCCCGGCUAAGAGGCUCAAAGCCCAGGACCUCUUUGCUGUAUUGUGCAGGAAUUUCUGAUAAGUACAAAAAUAAGAGGCUGUGGUGGCUGAGGUUUAUGCCCUGGAGAACAGUGCUCCAAAAUCAUGGACUCAGAGGUAUUUCUUUAAAAAUUUUCUUUUAUAUCUUCUAUCAUACUGAUAUGAUGAUGUUGACUUUUUACUAAUGCAACUUUUUUUAACAUACCAGAAGGUAUGUUUCAGAGUUAGAAGAGACCUAAAUUAUGUGAUCUAUCCAUAUCUCUUAUCACUGGGGCAUAUUUAACAUGAAAUGCAUAUUUAACAUGCAUUUCAAAAGUACCUUCUGGAUGAUGGCUUCUGAUAAUCCGAUUGUUGUCCAUCUCCCCAAAUCAAAAUGAAUUACACUGUAUGUGGCAGGCAGCUUCUAGGAUGGCCCCAAUGAUCCUUGCUUCCUGAUAUUCAUGCCAUUGUGUAAUUCCUUCUGCUUGUGUGUGGAUGAAACCUGUGACUUGCUUCUAACCAACAGAAUAUGACAAAGGUGUGAGAAUGUCACUUCUGUGAUGAGGUUUCAUAAGACAGUGACUUCUGUCUUGCUAGGUGACUCUUUCUAUUGCUAUCUUGACUUGCACACUUUGAUGAAGCAAGUUGCUAUGUUGGAAGGGCCCCAUGCCAAGGAACUGAGGGCAGCCUUUGGCCAACUGCCCCAGGGGAACUGAGGCUCCAGUCCAACAGCCAGUGCAGGGCUGAAUCUGGCCAAAAAAUGCUGAUUGAGCUUGGAAGCAGAUCCUUCCCCAGCUGAGCCUUCAGAGGAGACCCCAGCCCCAGCUGACACCUUGAUUGCACCUUUGGGAGAGGCCCUGAAGCAGAGGACCCAGGUAACCUAUGGUCGGUUUCCUGACCCACAGACUGUGAGAUACUAAAUGCAUGUUGUUUUAAGCUGCUAGGUUUUAGGGCAAUUUGUUAUGCUGCAAUAGACAACUAAUACACUGUACUAUAUUUGUCUCUUUUUCCAGCAGGACCAGAAAUGGGCCGUUUAAGGUCCCUGGGACCUUGUCAUGUGUGUUUAACUGUUUACCCACCACUGAAAAGCUUCCUGCCAGGACCCAUCUGCAGUGUAAAAGGGGAACCCUGAAGCCCUGGGAAUGGCUUCUAGUACUUCAGGUAGGGGCUCUGUGCCCCCAUCAAUUCCCACCUUUGGACCUCCCACUAGAACCUCCUUAAUUGUCUUUCUUCACCUAAGCAUCAUUUAGCUUUGUUACAAACCAGAGGCAGCAAGCCAACUAGACCCUGGAGAAACUUCAGCCAGGCAGGAGGGCAUCAACCACACCAACUGGUGUUCCACAGCAAAGGUAUGAAUGCAGAGAUUCACAUCCCAGUCCGGUUCAUAAGCAGAGGCGCAGGAAAUACGAAACUCCUUUUGAGAAAGAGGGAAAUUAGGGGAGAUACUGAAAUUAUGCGUUGCAUAGGACAUCAGGCAACCACUUAACUGUCGGCUUCAGUUUUUGAUCUGCAAAAUGGGAGUCUACUUCUAGGUCCCACAGUCUUUGAUUCUUAGUCUGAUACAAUCGGGGUUGCUGUGAGCUGGCUCUUUGGGUACUAAGUCGACUAUCAAAUGUGGAUAACAGAAUACCUGUCUUCAAAGGGGGUUGUAGAAUUAAAUGAAAUAAAUAAAACACGUGAAACGUGCAGCACAGGGCCAGCACGAGCGUCAUCGUGGCAGUUGCUGCUUCACCACGGGGUCUCACGUCCCGAGGAAUUGGGGUCGCCGGCGGGCGGAGCGCAGCUGGGACCCAGGCCGGGCGGCCUGCCCCGCCCACGUGGGGCCGCGGCCCGUCGAAUGACUCCUUGCAACGUGUUGGUGGUGGCGGCGGCGGUGGCGCGGGCUCUUCCGGGCGCCGCAGCUUCCUGCCAAGCACCGCGCAGCCGCCUCCGCCGCAGGAUCCCCCGGUGCAGGCCUCCGUGCUGGUGCGGAUCCUGGGGCUCAGCCGCGCGCGCCCUGCCUGAUCCUGCGCCGACCCACCGCACUAUGCGCGCGGUGCCGCAGCCCGCUCCGCUCCUGCCGCUGCUGCUGCUCGCGCUCCUGGCAGCUCCUGCCGCCCGCGCCAACAGAGCCGAGUCCAUCUCCGCGCCGCGGCCCGAACCCGAGCGCGAGUCGCGGCCACCUCCCGGCCCGGGGCCCGGGAACACUACCCGGAUUGGGUCUGGGGCGGCGGGCGGCAGCGGCAGCUCCAACAGCAGCGGCGACGCCUUGGUGACCCGCAUUUCCACCCUCCUCCGCGACCUACCCACCCUCAAGGCUGCCGUGAUCGUGGCGUUCGCCUUCACCACCCUCCUCAUCGCCUGCCUGCUGCUGCGCGUCUUCAGGUCAGGAAAGAGGUUAAAGAAGACCCGCAAGUAUGAUAUCAUCACCACUCCAGCUGAGCGAGUGGAAAUGGCGCCACUAAAUGAAGAGGAUGAUGAGGAUGAGGACUCCACAGUAUUCGAUAUCAAAUACAGGUAAAACCUGUUUCCCAGCCUGUUGGCAUCCUGUGGAAAGUUGGUCAGCUGCAACCUGGGGUGUGAAGACCUGGAAGCCCUCUCGCGUCAGAGGUGUUGAAACCAAAAUGAACGUUAUGUAUAAAACCCCAGCUCCAUCGUGGGUGUCAGGCGUCUGCUCAGAGUGUCACUGGCAAGCUCGUUUCCACCACAACGGAGUUGCUUCUGCCACCCUUUGGGCGCCCCUUUAAAGUGUCCCCCACUUCUACUCCCCAUAGGGGUGGGACUGGCAACAGAACAGCCGUGGCUGCUUUAUCUCUCCUCUCCACGGUGUACUCAGGCCUGAGUGGUGACUCACGGGAGCCCAGCCACCUCGCAGCUGUUCGCCCCCCGCCUCAACCUUUGAACUGGAACUGCUGGCUCAUACAGGGUUUUCGACAACUGCAGCUGAAUCUCAUGGAAAAGCUGGAUUCCUCUGCCUUACGCGGAAAUACCCGGGCUCCAUCUGCCAGGUGCUUGCCACUGGUCCUGGUAGAAGUGGCAGCUGCUGAGAGUGACCUUCCAAAUCCUUGGUGGCACUUCAGCACUACAGGCUCUCCAAUAAAAACCCUUUAGACACAAA